UCCAGACUCCUACGGGAGGCAGCAGUGGGGAAUAUUGGGCAAUGGAGGCAACUCUUACCCAGCAAUGCCGCGUGAAUGAAGAAGGUCUUCGGAUUGUAAAGUUCUUUAAUUGGGGACGAAAAAAUGACGGUACCCAAGGAAUAAGCCACGGCUAACUACGUGCCAGCAGCCGCGGUAAUACGUAGGUGGCAAGCGUUGUCCGGAUUUACUGGGUGUAAAGGGCGUGUAGCCGGGUUGACAAGUCAGAUGUGAAAUCCUGCGGCUUAACCGCAGAACUGCAUUUGAAACUGUUGAUCUUGAGUACUGGAGAGGCAGACGGAAUUCCUAGUGUAGCGGUGAAAUGCGUAGAUAUUAGGAGGAACACCAGUGGCGAAGGCGGUCUGCUGGACAGCAACUGACGGUGAGGCGCGAAAGCGUGGGGAGCAAACAGGAUUAGAUACCCCCGUAGG
rnacentral:rRNA from 1 species